rnacentral:rRNA from 1 species
UACGUAGGGUGCGAGCGUUAAUCGGAAUUACUGGGCGUAAAGCGUGCGCAGGCGGUUCGUUGUGUCGGCGGUGAAAGCCCCCGGGCUUAACCUGGGAAUGGCCGUUGAAACUGGCGAACUGGAGUGUGGCAGAGGGGUGGAAUUCCGCGUGUAGCAGUGAAAUGCGUAGAGAUGCGGAGGAACACCGAUGGCGAAGGCAGCCCUGGGCUAACACUGACGCUCAGGCACGAAAGCGUGGGAGCAAACAGG